GUGUGACUGUCUUUGCCUCAAUUUAUGCUCAGCUUUGCUUCAAGUGACUGUUUCUGGAAAUGAAGCUCUGUUCAGGGAUUGAGGAGGGGCCUGAGAUGGAGGAAGACAUUCUUGGUCUCAAAAUUUGGUUAGAUUUCCCUUCUGUUUCCUGGUAGUAACCUGUGCCUUCCCUUGUCAUAGCACUGACCUCAGAUUAUUAUAAUAUGUUUCUCUCCCACUAGUCUAGAGGCUCCUGUAGGCAGAGAGUUUUCUCACAUUUGCUCUCUAAUAAGGCCUUACCCAGUGCCUGGCACACUGCAGGGUCUCAAAGAUGACUAAAUCAUCACACAUCAUAGAUACUAUGUGAUGCUUUGAUUCAAUCUGUAUUCUUAUUCUUAAAGAUGGAUUCAUUGAUUCACCAAAUAUCAAUAGCACCGGCAUUUAUUCCUGGUGAGGCAGAAGGAAAAAGAAAAGAAAAACACAAAUACUUUGAUCUUGAAAGGGAUAUUUACAAAGAUUGUGUGUGCAUGUGUGUAACAAUAGGAGAAUAGGUUUAGAUGGGGCUUAACUAAUUGCUAAGCUUUUAUGCAUGUCUUGCUAUAAUAAAAGAGUAUAAAAUAACUUAGUCUAUGUUAAUUCAAAUAAUAUGGUGCAUUUUCUAGACUCUGAUUUUGAUUAUCUCCUCCAUAAGUGAGAGAGGUUCUUAUAACAUUUUUGUUUCUAAUAACAGAACUUCAUUAUCUCAUUAUGGGGUGGAAAGUCAGUAGAAUGUAUUUAAGACUAACUUGAACCUUUUUAAAAGAAAGCUACAUGGUUAUAGAUGUUGUUUGUUUGUGUUUUCCCAUUUUAUGCAUCUUGCUCCUCCCUGGUCCCUGUGGGCAGCUGGAAUAAAGGUCAGGUUGCUGUCAACGGUGAGACAGGCUGUUUCAGAAAUGUUUCCAGCUGAGAUCUCCCAGGAGAUGUCACACCUUGACAUGUGGAAUAAGCUUACUCAUCCCCAGGACUUGACACCAGUGUAUUGUAAAGCCAGCACCCCAUCCUUCUUAUCAUCAUCUCCACCACUGGCCACCUGGAUCCAUCCACCAUCGUCUUUUUCUUGGAUUACUGUGCAGUCUCAACUCUAGCUCCCAGGACUCCAACUUCAUUCUCUUGGUGUUUAACGGUAUUUUAAAAUAUGUAAAUUAGGUCAUGUCAAUCAACUCAAUAAAUGGUUAUUGAAUGAAAGAAUGAAUUUUUUA
rnacentral:lncRNA from 1 species